GUCCAGAGAAAGCUGUCCGGUGGACAGUGGGUGUGUGGACUGAGCUCAGAGCACUGAUAGAGUGUGAGAUGUGGCAUUGCACCUGCAUGGUCUAGAAGCUGAACCACGGGAAGGAGGGUCAGCAGAGAGGGGCUCAGGGCCAGGCAUAAACAGAGCCACAGAUACCUUCCCCAUUCCUACUCUGGCAUCUCCUUCCCGUCAGACCCGCACUGGGGACAAUGAUAUAUAGGACAGAGCUAGCCGCUGAGAGCUAAGUGGUUUUCUCUGGUGCCCUGAAUACAGCGUUAAAAUUGUCCCCAGUAACUUGUCAUCUGAAUUCUCUCCAGCUGGCUAGUAAUUUCUAUUAAAUCCCAAAUGAUCAUGUGUGGGGUUCCUGCUGGCUUUCAAAGAACGCAGGCCAGCAGAACACAAAAGCAUCUGGGAAAUUUCUCAGCUCAGGUAGCUCAAGCCCUUUUUUCUUUAAUUUUUAAAUAACUCAUUCCAGAUUUAGCAAAAGAUCCAUUCAAGGAGCCUGGCGAGGCAGCCUGAGUUGACAACUCUGUUUCUGAACAAUCCAUUACUUAUUCAGUGCCAGCCACUCAGCCAGCAGGUGUUGGAGCUGAACUAAACUUACAGGAGAACACACACAGAGCUGAGAGACAGGAAGAGUGACAGCAGCCUGGACUUAGGGUGGUCCCUCCAGCAAAGGCUAAGAGGGCUGUGUGAGCAUCUCUUCUUGCUUGGGACAGGAGAGCUUACAUGCUUCCCAGUACUAUACUAGACCUAUCCAUAUGUAGUGACCUUAGUCCUCCCCCACGGUCUGUGGAGCAUGUCUUUCUCUCCAUUGUACAGAUAAGCACAUGGGACCUUUGUAGAUGAUGGUUGUAUGCGAGGGUGUAUGCAGGAAAGAAACUGAUAACACGACCACUCCAUUAUAUGGUUAAGGCUUUCAUUGUAGAUACAAGAAGAGAACAGCCAGAGGCAUCUGGAAAAAUCCAGAGCAGAGAGAGAAGGAAGCAGAUUGAACAUGGUCAGGCCUAGGGAAGGAAGACAGUGAGAGAGUAUAGUGGAGAUGGUGAGAUAGCAAAAUAGAGAAGAGAGAAAGAGACGACAGACAGACAGACAGACAGACAGACAAAGUCUGAGUGGGAGAUGGAGAAUGUGUGUAUGGUGGGAAUAGCUGGAUUUUAAGAAGGAUGAGUAGCUGUGGGAGGGAAGCCCAUGAGCAGGAGGGAGUUUAGGGUAGGGGAGAAGGUGAGAGGGAUGAGGGUGCUAGCUACCAUGGACUUUAAAAUGUGUGCCUGGUACUUGUGAUGCUGAGGGAGACUGUAGACCAGUGUGGACUUUGAUGUGCUGAUAGGCCCUACAGGCAGCCAUAUGUCCCUUCUGGUCUCCAAGACUGUCCCUGUGGACUUGUUUUGCCACCCACACCCUCUUGUAUCUUUCUUCCAUAUGGGAUCAGGGAUGGCCCUAAGUGAUUGUAAGUAAUGCUGUGAGAUUUCUGAAGCUAGGGCCAGAUGCCCUAGAGCUUACAAGCUCUUAGAUGCUUAGAUGUUAAGAGAAUCCAGGAGAUGUCUGACUUCUUGAAGACUACCAAGCUGUGAGGAAACCCAAGCCAAUCAAUCAUGUGAAAGGCCAUAUGAAAGAAGAUGCCCCGCUUCUCUCCAGCUGCUCAAGCUAUCCCAAGCGAGGCCUGGAUCAAGUGAGUGAGUAGUCAUUUGAGAGGAGCUCGCCAGAAGGGUCUUCACACAACUCCACCCCUCAGCUGUUUUCUCGUGGUAACUAACUGUAAGAGGCACCACAGAAGAACUGUCUGUCCAUCAAAGGACAGAUGACCCUCAGGAUUGUGCAAAACAAUAA
rnacentral:lncRNA from 1 species